rnacentral:rRNA from 1 species
AUUGAACGCUGGCGGCAGGCCUAACACAUGCAAGUCGAGCGGAGCGGCGGACGGACGAGUAAUGCCUAGGAAUCUGCCUGGUAGUGGUGGAUAACGUCCGGCAACGGGCGCUAAUACCGCAUACUAUCAGAUGAGCCUAGGUCGGAGUAGCUAGUUGGUGGGGUAAAGGCCUACCAAGGCGACGAUCCGUAACUGGUCUGAGAGGAUGAUCAGUCACACUGGAACUGAGACACGGCCCAGACUCCUACGGGAGGCAGCAGUGGGGAAUAUUGCACAAUGGGAGAAAGCCUGAUGCAGCGACGCCGCGUGGGGGAUGAAGGCUUUCGGGUUGUAAACCUCUUUCGCUAUCGAACGGGUAGGUGGAGAAGAAGCGCCGGCUAACUACGUGCCAGCCGCCGCGGUAAUUC